UGCUGGUCCAUGUUGACUCUACAAUGUGUUGAAAGCGUUCCACAGGGAUGCUGGCCCAUGUUGACUCUACAAGGUGUUGAAAGUGUUCCACAGGGAUGCUGGCCCAUGUUGACUCUACAAGGUGUCUAAAGCGUUCCACAGGGAUGCUGGUCCAUGUUGACUCUACAAGGUGUCUAAAGUGUUCCACAGGGAUGCUGGUCCAUGUUGACUCUACAAGGUGUCGAAAGCGUUCCACAGGGAUGCUGGUCCAUGUUGACUCUACAAGGUGUCUAAAGUGUUCCACAGGGAUGCUGGCCCAUGUUGACUCUACAAGGUGUUGAAAGCGUUCCACAGGGAUGCUGGCCCAUGUUGACUCUACAAGGUGUCGAAAGCGUUCCACAGGGAUGCUGGCCCAUGUUGACUCUACAAGGUGUUGAAAGCGUUCCACAGGGAUGCUGGCCCAUGUUGACUCUACAAGGUGUCGAAAGCGUUCCACAGGGAUGCUGGCCCAUGUUGACUCUACAAGGUGUCUAAAGCGUUCCACAGGGAUGCUGGCCCCAUGUUGACUCUACAAGGUGUCGAAAGCGUUCCACAGGGAUGCUGGCCCCAUGUUGACUCUACAAGGUGUCUAAAGCGUUCCACAGGGAUGCUGGUCCAUGUUGACUCUACAAGGUGUCUAAAGCGUUCCACAGGGAUGCUGGCCCAUGUUGACUCUACAAGGUGUCUAAAGCGUUCCACAGGGAUGCUGGCCCAUGUUGACUCUACAAGGUGUCUAAAGCGUUCCACAGGGAUGCUGGCCCCAUGUUGACUCUACAAGGUGUUGAAAGCGUUCCACAGGGAUGCUGGCCCCAUGUUGACUCUACAAGGUGUCUAAAGCGUUCCACAGGGAUGCUGGCCCAUGUUGACUCUACAA